GAUGAAGAACGUAGCGAAAUGCGAUAAGUAAUGUGAAUUGCAGAAUUCAGUGAAUCAUCGAAUCUUUGAACGCACCUUGCGCCCCUUGGUUAUUCCAAAGGGCAUGCCUGUUUGAGUAUCAUGAACACCUCAACUCUUGUGGUUUCCCACAAUGAGCUUGGACUGUGGAGGUUUUGUUGGCCCUGUGGACAGCUCCUCUCAAAUGGAUCAGCUUACCGGUGUUUGGUGGCAUUACGGGUGUGAUAACUAUCUACGCUCGUGGUCGUCUCCAAAUAACCUCCAGUGAUGGAGGUUCGCUGGAGCUUAUAAAUGUCUCUCCCCAGUGAAGACAGCCUUUGAACGUUCGAUCUCAAAUCAGGUAGGACUACCCGCUGAACUUAAGCAUAUCAAUAAGCGGAGGA
rnacentral:misc_RNA from 1 species